rnacentral:pre_miRNA from 1 species
GGCCAUGCUCUCCACAGGCUUUCUUGAACUGUGAACUCGUGUGUGCAUCGAUCGAUCUCAUCUCAUCUGAAUUAUGUCGGUUAUAUAUUUCGAUCCCCAUCUGCCUGCGUGCAUGCCUUGUUGAUAGUUCAAGAAAGUCCUUGGAAAGCAUGGUGU